ACCUAGCUGAAAAAUCCCAAAUGGGACGAAACACGUGUCCCAAAU
rfam:Schistosoma mansoni strain Puerto Rico chromosome W, complete genome